rnacentral:rRNA from 1 species
CCUACGGGGGGCUGCAGUGAGGAAUAUUGGUCAAUGGACGAGAGUCUGAACCAGCCAAGUAGCGUGAAGGAUGACUGCCCUAUGGGUUGUAAACUUCUUUUAUAAAGGAAUAAAACGAGGCACGUGUGCCUUUUUGCAUGUGCUUUAUGAAUAAGGAUCGGCUAACUCCGUGCCAGCAGCCGCGGUAAUACGGAGGAUCCGAGCGUUAUCCGGAUUUAUUGGGUUUAAAGGGAGCGUAGAUGGGUUGUUAAGUUAGUUGUGAAAGUUUGCGGCUCAACCGUAAAAUUGCAAUUGAUACUGGCAGUCGUGAGUACAGUUGAGGUAGGCGGAAUGCGUGGUGUAGCGGUGAAAUGCUUAGAUAUCACGAAGAACCCCGAUUGCGAAGGCAGCUUACUAAACUGUGACUGACAUUGAUGCUCGAAAGUGUGGGUAUCAAACAGGAUUAGAUACCCCAGUAGUC